rnacentral:rRNA from 1 species
AUUGAACGCUGGCGGCAGGCCUAACACAUGCAAGUCGAGCGGAUGAAGGGAGCUUGCUCCUGGAUUCAGCGGCGGACGGGUGAGUAAUGCCUAGGAAUCUGCCUGGUCGUGGGGGAUAACGUACGGAAACGGGAGCUAAUCCCGCAUCCGUCCUGAGUGAGAAAGUGGGGGAUCUUUGGACCUCACGCUAUCAGAUGAGCCUAGGUCGGAUUAGCUAGUUGGUGGGGUAAAGGCCUACCAAGGCGACGAUCCGUAACUGGUCUGAGAGGAUGAUCAGUCACACUGGAACUGAGACACGGUCCAGACUCCUACGGGAGGCAGCAGUGGGGAAUAUUGGACAAUGGGCGAAAGCCUGAUCCAGCCAUGCCGCGUGUGUGAAGAAGGUCUUCGGAUUGUAAAGCACUGUAAGUUGGGAGGAAGGGCAGUAAGUUAAUAUCUGGCUGUUUUGACGUUACCAACAGAAUAAGCACCGGCUAACUUCGUG